CACUCCCUUCAGCCUCCCCAAGUACUGGGAUUACAGAAGCCAAAAUACUCUUCAGAGAUGCAUUGCCUAGUUGAGCAACUUCACCAUAGCAGUUUCCGUCUGUUGCUGAGAGGCUACCUGGUAACUUCCUACAGCCAGCCAUCCUAUGUGAACUGUAACUUCCCCGUAAGAAAAAAAUAUCUAUCUUUGACAUUAUUGUGGCAGACCCUCCAGAGAGUC
rnacentral:lncRNA from 1 species